GAUGAACGCUAGCGGGAGGCCUAACACAUGCAAGCCGAGCGGUAGAGAUUCUUCGGAAUCUUGAGAGCGGCGUACGGGUGCGGAACACGUGUGCAACCUACCUUUAUCUGGAGGAUAGCCUUUCGAAAGGAAGAUUAAUACUCCAUAAUAUAUUGAUUGGCAUCGAUUGAUAUUGAAAGCUCCGGCGGAUAGAGAUGGGCACGCGCAAGAUUAGCUAGUUGGUGAGGUAACGGCUCACCAAGGCGAUGAUCUUUAGGGGCCUGAGAGGGUGAUCCCCCACACUGGUACUGAGACACGGACCAGACUCCUACGGGAGGCAGCAGUGAGGAAUAUUGGUCAAUGGGUGCAUGCCUGAACCAGCCAUCCCGCGUGAAGGACGACUGCCCUAUGGGUUGUAAACUUCUUUUGUAUAGGGAUAAACCUACCCUCGUGAGGGUAGCUGAAGGUACUAUACGAAUAAGCACCGGCUAACUCCGUGCCAGCAGCCGCGGUAAU
rnacentral:rRNA from 1 species